GGUUAAGUGACUAAGCGUACACGGUGGAUGCCUUGGCAGUCAGAGGCGAUGAAAGACGUAGUAACUUGCGAUAAGCCCAGAUUAGGUAGUAACAACCAUUUGAGUCUGGGAUUUCUGAAUGGGGAAACCCACGUGCAUAAGCACGUAUCCUUACCUGAAUACAUAGGGUAAGGAGGCGAACCGGGGGAACUGAAACAUCUAAGUACCCCGAGGAAAAGAAAUCAACCGAGAUUCCGAAAGUAGCGGCGAGCGAAAUUGGACUAGCCCUUAAGCUUUACACGCGUUAGACGAACGGUCUGGAAAGUCCGACGAUACAGGGUGAUAGUCCCGUAGUUGACGACGUGUGUUCAGUGAAAUCGAGUAGGGCGGGACACGUGAUAUCCUGUCUGAAUAUGGGGGGACCAUCCUCCAAGGCUAAAUACUACUGACUGACCGAUAGUGAACCAGUACCGUGAGGGAAAGGCGAAAAGAACCCCUGUGAGGGGAGUGAAAUAGAACCUGAAACCGUGUACGUACAAGCAGUAGGAGCACCUUCGUGGUGUGACUGCGUACCUUUUGUAUAAUGGGUCAGCGACUUAUAUUCAGUGGCAAGGUUAACCAUCUAGGGGAGCCGUAGGGAAACCGAGUCUUAACUGGGCGUUCAGUCUCUGGAUAUAGACCCGAAACCAGGUGAUCUAGCCAUGGGCAGGUUGAAGGUUGAGUAACAUCAACUGGAGGACCGAACCGACUAAUGUUGAAAAAUUAGCGGAUGACUUGUGGCUAGGGGUGAAAGGCCAAUCAAACCUGGAGAUAGCUGGUUCUCCCCGAAAGCUAUUUAGGUAGCGCCUCGGACGAAUACUACUGGGGGUAGAGCACUGUUAAGGCUAGGGGGUCAUCCCGACUUACCAACCCUUUGCAAACUCCGAAUACCAGUAAGUACUAUCCGGGAGACACACGGCGGGUGCUAACGUCCGUCGUGGAGAGGGAAACAACCCAGACCGCCAGCUAAGGUCCCAAAUUACUACUAAGUGGGAAACGAUGUGGGAAGGCUCAGACAGCCAGGAUGUUGGCUUAGAAGCAGCCAUCAUUUAAAGAAAGCGUAAUAGCUCACUGGUCGAGUCGGCCUGCGCGGAAGAUGUAACGGGGCUAAGUAGUAAACCGAAGCUGCGGCAAUACUCUUUGAGUAUUGGGUAGGGGAGCGUUCUGUAAGCGGUUGAAGGUGUGUGGUAACGCAUGCUGGACGUAUCAGAAGUGCGAAUGCUGACAUGAGUAACGAUAAAGGGGGUGAAAAACCUCCUCGCCGGAAGACCAAGGGUUCCUGUCCAACGUUAAUCGGGGCAGGGUAAGUCGACCCCUAAGGCGAGGCCGAAAGGCGUAGUCGAUGGGAAACGGGUUAAUAUUCCCGUACUUCUUACAAUUGCGAUGGGGGGACGGAGAAGGCUAGGUGGGCCUGGCGACGGUUGUCCAGGUUCAAGUGCGUAGGCUUAAGAGUUAGGUAAAUCCGGCUCUUUUUAAGGCUGAGACACGACGUCGAGCACCUACGGGUGUGAAGUCAUUGAUGCCAUGCUUCCAGGAAAAGCCUCUAAGCUUCAGAUUGUAAGGAAUCGUACCCCAAACCGACACAGGUGGUCGGGUAGAGAAUACCAAGGCGCUUGAGAGAACUCGGGUGAAGGAACUAGGCAAAAUGGUACCGUAACUUCGGGAGAAGGUACGCUCUUGAUGGUGAAGUCCCUUGCGGAUGGAGCUGACGAGAGUCGCAGAUACCAGGUGGCUGCAACUGUUUAUUAAAAACACAGCACUGUGCAAAAUCGUAAGAUGACGUAUACGGUGUGACGCCUGCCCGGUGCCGGAAGGUUAAUUGAUGGGGUUAGACUUCGGUCGAAGCUCUUGAUCGAAGCCCCGGUAAACGGCGGCCGUAACUAUAACGGUCCUAAGGUAGCGAAAUUCCUUGUCGGGUAAGUUCCGACCUGCACGAAUGGCGUAAUGAUGGCCACGCUGUCUCCACCCGAGACUCAGUGAAAUUGAAAUCGCUGUGAAGAUGCAGUGUACCCGCGGCUAGACGGAAAGACCCCGUGAACCUUUACUACAGCUUGGCACUGAACAUUGACCCUACAUGUGUAGGAUAGGUGGGAGGCUUUGAAGCACGUACGCCAGUAUGUGUGGAGCCGUCCUUGAAAUACCACCCUUGUAGUGUUGAUGUUCUAACGUCGACCCCUAAUCGGGGUUGCGGACAGUGCCUGGUGGGUAGUUUGACUGGGGCGGUCUCCUCCCAAAGAGUAACGGAGGAGCACGAAGGUGGGCUAAUCACGGUUGGACAUCGUGAGGUUAGUGCAAUGGCAUAAGCCCGCUUGACUGCGAGAAUGACAAUUCGAGCAGGUGCGAAAGCAGGUCAUAGUGAUCCGGUGGUUCUGAAUGGAAGGGCCAUCGCUCAACGGAUAAAAGGUACUCCGGGGAUAACAGGCUGAUACCGCCCAAGAGUUCAUAUCGACGGCGGUGUUUGGCACCUCGAUGUCGGCUCAUCACAUCCUGGGGCUGAAGUCGGUCCCAAGGGUAUGGCUGUUCGCCAUUUAAAGUGGUACGCGAGCUGGGUUUAGAACGUCGUGAGACAGUUCGGUCCCUAUCUGCCGUGGGCGUUGGAAGAUUGAAGGGGGCUGCUCCUAGUACGAGAGGACCGGAGUGGACGAACCUCUGGUGUUCGGGUUGUGUCGCCAGACGCAUUGCCCGGUAGCUAAGUUCGGAAUCGAUAACCGCUGAAAGCAUCUAAGCGGGAAGCGAGCCCUGAGAUGAGUCUUCCCUGAUACUUUAAGUAUCCUAAAGGGUUGUCGGAGACUACGACGUUGAUAGGUCAGGUGUGUAAGUGCUGUGAGGCAUUGAGCUAACUGAUACUAAUUGCCCGUGAGGCUUAACCAU
rnacentral:rRNA from 1 species